UCCUACGGGGCGCAGCAGUGAGGAAUAUUGGUCAAUGGCCGGAAGGCUGAACCAGCCAAGUCGCGUGAGGGAAUAAGGCCCUAUGGGUCGUAAACCUCUUUUGUCAGGGAGCAAAGGCGUCCACGUGUGGACGAGAGGAGAGUACCUGAAGAAAAAGCAUCGGCUAACUCCGUGCCAGCAGCCGCGGUAAUACGGAGGAUGCGAGCGUUAUCCGGAUUUAUUGGGUUUAAAGGGUGCGUAGGCGGAGUGUCAAGUCAGCGGUAAACUUUCGGGGCUCAACCCCGUCUUGCCGUUGAAACUGACGC
rnacentral:rRNA from 1 species